CAGCAGCCGCGGGAAUACGAAGGGGGCUAGCGUUGCUCGGAAUUACUGGGCGUAAAGGGCUCGCAGGCGGUUUCUUAAGUCUGAUGUGAAAGCCCCCGGCUCAACCGGGGAGGGUCAUUGGAAACUGGGAAACUUGAGUGCGGAAGAGGAGAGUGGAAUUCCACGUGUAGCAGUGAAAUGCGUAGAGAUGUGGAGGAACACCAGUGGCGAAGGCGACUCUCUGGUCUGUAACUGACGCUGAGGAGCGAAAGCGUGGGGAGCGAACAGGAUUAGAUACCCGGGUAGUCCCUGUCUCUUAUAC
rnacentral:rRNA from 1 species